rnacentral:rRNA from 1 species
GUCCUAGCCUUAAACGGUGCAUGUUUGCUGUGAGAGGAAUCGACCCCUUUCGUGGCGAAGCUAACGCGUUAAACGUGCCGCCUGGGAAGUACGGCCGCAAGGUUAAAACUCAAAGAAAUUGACGGGGCCUGCACAAGCGGUGGAGUAUGUGGCUCAAUUCGAUGCAACGCGAAGAACCUUACCUGGCCUUGACAUGCAAGUGGUAGAAGGAUGAAAGUCCGACGGCCCCGCAAGGGGAGCUUGCACAGGUGCUGCAUGGCUGUCGU